AUUGAACGCUGGCGGCAUGCUUUACACAUGCAAGUCGAACGGUAACAGGCCUUCGGGUGCUGACGAGUGGCGAACGGGUGAGUAAUGCAUCGGAACGUGCCCAGAGGUGGGGGAUAACGCAGCGAAAGCUGUACUAAUACCGCAUGUGAUCUGAGGAUGAAAGCGGGGGACCAGGCAGCAAUGUUUGGCCUCGCGCCUUUGGAGCGGCCGAUGUCAGAUUAGGUAGUUGGUGGGGUAAAGGCCUACCAAGCCGACGAUCUGUAGCUGGUCUGAGAGGACGACCAGCCACACUGGGACUGAGACACGGCCCAGACUCCUACGGGAGGCAGCAGUGGGGAAUUUUGGACAAUGGGCGCAAGCCUGAUCCAGCAAUGCCGCGUGCGGGAAGAAGGCCUUCGGGUUGUAAACCGCUUUUGUACGGAACGAAAAGGCUCUGGCUAAUACCUGGGGCUGAUGACGGUACCGUAAGAAUAAGCACCGGCUAACUACGUG
rnacentral:rRNA from 1 species